rnacentral:lncRNA from 1 species
ACUUUUGGCACAUUUAAUAACUAGCUACUGUACUUUGUUGCUGUGCUUCACAUUUUGAACUCAAAGGAACAUUUUCUGUCCACUGGUUUGCUAAAUUUCUACAGUAAGUACUCCCUCUGUAAACUAAUAUAAGAGCGUUUAGAUUACUAAAAUAGUGAUCUAAACACUCUUAUAUUAGUUUACGGAGGGAGUACUUCGCUGCCCUUGUCGUGAACUGAAUCUGGUAUAUCAAAGGCCCUCUUUGUUUGAGCCACAUAUAUUCCCGAGAAUCACUGGCUUUCUGUGACUUCCGAUUCCUGAGUAUCAGAAGUUCGUUGUUUAUUUACCCUACUGUGGACAGCUAAAGGAGUUGUGGAGGUUGUGAAAUGUCAGUAACGUCCCCGAGUGUUGAGUGUGAUGUUUAUAUGCAGAUUAAAGCACAAGUUAGCUGUUUUGACUUGAUAAAGUGAGAAUUGGCUAAUUUGUUUUCUAGAAAUAUCAAGAUGCUCUUGCAUACGAAAUGCACCAACCAUUAGUUUUAGAUAUGAAAUGUG